UUGGAUAAAAUUAGGCGAUAAGUUCUUUUCAAAAUCAGGUAAUUGAAAUUCAUUAUACUGCAAAUUUAUGAAUAACAACAUAUAGCGACUUUUCGCGUUAGUGAAAAUGGGAAUGAUCGUAAAGAAUUAACGAGAAAAAGCGGAGAAAAAUGUAUGGAAAAGUGUCAUUGGACAACGAACGAAAUGAAAAAAAUCCAUAACUAAAGUGUCAGAUGGUCAUGAUAUAACAAAUCCUCACUCAAAAUUGGAAAAUUGUGGGAAACCAUAUCUUAUACUUUUCAUAAUUCAUCUUCUAACUUUUCAUGAGUUUUGAACAAAAAAGAAAAUUCCAUCAUUCAGAGAUACCUACAUCUUUACAACGUAAUAAAAAUUAAAAAAAAAAAUGUCUGGAUUGGGUAAGGGAUGCACACCGGAGAACAAUUGCAAGAAAGAUAAACUUUUGAAAUUGAAACAAGCUGCUGCAGAUGCUGCUGAUUCGGCUUCAAAGGGAAAAAAUAAUCAUUCCGAGAAAUCAGGCAAACAGCAAUUGGAUACAAAAGUUUCCGAAGUAACGACUACGGUUGAUAAAAAUUUACCGGAAGAAGAAAGUGGGAAUAAAUCAUAGUACCAAUAAACGAAUUAUCGAAUAUUAGAUUCGUAUAUUUCGGCUAUAUAAAGACAUACAUAUUUUCGAAGAAGAUAAUAUGAGUGCAGAAGACGAAACUCUAACUAGCGAGGAAAUGUCGGAAGAUGACCAUCAAGAUACGAAUGAAUCGGAAAGUGGAUCGAAUAAUGAUGAAUUUGAUGAGGCAGUUUUCACGGCUGAAACACUCAUUUGCGUCGUAACUUUAGCCGGAAUAUUUUUGUGGUACUUAAGCAGCCCGCCGUCAACAUGAAUUUGAAGAAUAAAAAGAAAUCGAAUCACUCAAAUAAAGAAACCUAAUCAGAAACUUGGAUAUCCAUCAAAUGAUAACCGUUCAAAAUUUGCAAGUAUAUAAUUACGGAAAAACGCGAGUGAGUGGUAAAUAUAGCAUAAGGGACGAUGACUUGAUACAGGUAUUCGACGGGAAAUGGGGUAGCUCGUGAGAUGUAAGAAAUUCAAAUUAAGCCUAAUCCGAGGGGUGUUUCUGAGAGGUAUAAUAACGAGAGACGUGGUGCGCUCGGUGAGGAAGGUAUAAGAAUGGAAGGGGUAAUUUAUUGCGACGACAUAUUGGUCAGACCUAUGCUAGGAGUGAUUUACAACGACCGUGAUGCAGCUUAUUUGAGCCUAAACUUCAUUCGUCAUCGAAUGGCGUAGACGAUAUUCGACAAAUUACAUUAUAUGAAAUUAUAACGGACGCUGCGUUAGCAAACCAGAGAUGGUGUUGAUUCGAAACUUGGAAUUUGAUGGAGUUUUCAAUCACUGAUAGCGCUAACAAACCCAUAAUUGAAGUUUAUCUUUUCCGACGAUGGUCAGCGAACCAAAUAAUUCAAUCGGAAUUGUAGCAAAUUUACAUGACUCACGCUCUGAAGCUAUGAAGUAAAAUCCCUGGGAGAGUUCGUGGCCAUAGUGCGGCAUGACCUUUCCUUUGCCGUUUGAAUGUUACCCUGACACAACCGUGUCAACAACACUCCGCGGUACUUUUAAUUAAUUUUUACCACCGACCGCGAGCCGGGCGUACAGAUCCAAAGAAUUUACUUCCCGACCAGACGCUUUUAUGCGAGCUGCUGAAAUCGCUCGAAAUUCGAAUUUUAUGAUUGCACUCUGCGCAUGAGUACAAAAUUUUAUUUCAUGAAAUACCGUAGCUACAUGAAAAACUGAGGAAGAAAGAAUGCGAAAAGUUUAAGACUGUAAUGCAAAAACGUAUGUUCUAUUGCGAAAUUUUAUGUGAUACGCACAUUUAUCUUAUAUGUACGUAAUUAAUUGGAAAUUUUUCCACUUGUUGCCGUAUACGCUUAGCGCGGUAUAUAUGUAUAAAAAAAAAACAUCUUUUGCAAGCAAAA
rnacentral:lncRNA from 1 species